rnacentral:rRNA from 1 species
AGAGCGAACGCUGGCGGCGUGCUUAACACAUGCAAGUCGAGUGCGCGCCUGUAGCAAUACAGGUGGCGCACGGCGCACGGGUGCGUAACACGUGGGUAAUCUGCCCUUCGAUGGGGAAUAACUCCGGGAACCGAAGCUAAUUCCGCAUAACAUUCCUUGAACUUCGGUUUGGGGACUCAAAGCCGUAAGGCGUCGGAGGAGGAACCCGCGCACGAUUAGCUAGUUGGUAGGGUAACGGCCUACCAAGGCUUUGAUCGUUAGC